CCCUUAGAUGUUCUGGGCCGCACGCGUGCUACACUGAGUGGAUCAGCGGGUCAGGUUGCGCGAAAGCGUUUCCUAAUCUUUAAAUCCGCUCGUGAUGGGGAUUGACGGUUGCAAUUUUCUGUCAUGAACGAGGAAUACCUUGUAAGCGCGGGUCAUCAUCCCGCGCUGAAUACGUCCCUGCCCUUUGUACACACCGCCCGUCGCUCCUACCGAUUGAGUGGUCUGGUGAGGCUUUGGGAUCUGAGCGGAAAGAGCGUUUCGCUGUUUCUGCUCGGAAAACUCAGUCGAACCUUAUCAUUUAGAGGAAGGAGAAGUCGUAACA
rnacentral:rRNA from 1 species